GGGGGGUAGGACGAUCAAUUGUUUUUGCUUCUGUUCUUAACGCGUUAUUAAUUCCUAGGGGAGGCUAAGGAUAACAAGCCAAUAAUUAGUAAUAGGCUCUUUUCGCCGAGGGAUCGGGUUAAGGGUAGACUAAGAAAGUUUGCAUGACAAUUAGAUAACAAAGCAAAUUAAAUAAGAGGAGUAGAUAAGAGAGAGCGGAUAAGAUGAAAUUGUAAACCCCCAACAACUUCAUUCAUCCAUAGUCUUUUUCUCGUCAAUUGAAUCAACUGCAUUUGCAUGUUUAUUUUGUGUUUUUGCAUUCCCACCAAUUAAUUUUCUUUACAAGUCUUACGAUUUCAAUUUGCACGAACAAUAUGGCAUUCGAGUCUCUUCGGAAGAACGAUAUUGAGUUUUACCAAUUAUAUUACUUGAAACGAUUUGGUACACUUGCCAGAGAGUCAACAAGUUUUUGGCGCCGUUGCUAGGGACUCGAGGUUUAACUUGUUCGAGUAGUGUAAAUUGAUUGAAUUUGACUUGAUUUUAUGUUUGUUCU
rnacentral:lncRNA from 1 species